CCUACGGGAGACAGCAGUAGGGAAUCUUCCACAAUGGACGAAAGUCUGAUGGAGCAACGCCGCGUGAGUGAAGAAGGGUUUCGGCUCGUAAAGCUCUGUUGGUAGUGAAGAAAGAUAGAGGUAGUAACUGGCCUUUAUUGGACGGUAAUUACUUAGAAAGUCACGGCUAACUACGUGCGCGAAGCCGCUGUAAUACGGAGGGGGCAAGCGUUGGCCGGGUUUUUUGGGCGUAAGGCGAGUGCAGGCGGGUCAAUAAGUCUGAUGUGAAAGCCUGCGGCUCAACCGGAGAAUUGCAUCAGAAACUGUUGAACUGGAGUGCAGAAGAGGAGAGUGGAACUCCAUGUGUAGCGGUGGAAUGCGUAGAUAUAUGGAAGAACACCAGUGGCGAAGGCGGCUCUCUGGUCUGCAACUGACGCUGAGGCUCGAACGCAUGGGUAGCGAACAGGAUUAGAUACCCUGUAGU
rnacentral:rRNA from 1 species